rnacentral:lncRNA from 1 species
CUGCCAGGGUAUCCAUGGGUUAAGGAUGUCUCCUUGAGAAUCUUAAGCUUGUUUUACUAUGUUUGUUUCCUCCAUAAAAAGUUUAUAAGCUCAUCAAAUAACUGCGAAGAUGCUAGUGUCCAUACCUAGCUGCGUCUUUGGAAUGCUCACGAAUGAGGCUGAGCCUGCUGUUAGGUUUUCUAAAGAUGGAAAUAAAGAAUUAAUCUUCUUUGUGAUAUACGUGUCAGAAAAUGCAUCUGCUCCUUAUCUAAUUGCUCAAGGUAUAUUUAGUCCAUACAGGUUGUUAUUGAUACAGGUAGUGAAAUCGCUGCAAUUUCCUUAUUAUCAACAAUUGUAAAAAUGUCAUCAAUUUAGUGGGAAACUUGAGGGAAUCUUUAAUAGAAAGAAUAGCACCUUCUUCACUUUUUCUAAGAUUUCUGCUAGCUGGCUGGCUAUAGGGGAACCCAUAAAGGUGCCUCUAGUUUGCAUGAAAUAUCUACCAUCAAACCUAUAAUAAGCAUUUUUGCAAAUUAGAUGGACGAAGUCAGAUAGGAUUUUAAAUUCCGUUGGUGUAUGGCAUAGUAAAUUUCUGAGUUCUUAGAUAACAGGUUCUAAUAGAAGGCUUUGGUAGAGAGAU